GAUGAACGCUGGCGGCGUGCUUAAUACAUGCAAGUCGAACGGAGAUCUAGCAAUAGUUUUUAGUGGCGAACGGGUGAGUAACGCGUUGGUGACCUACCCCAAAGUGGGGGAUAACAGAUCGAAAGGUCUGCUAAUACCUCAUGUUGUCAUUGUUUUUAGAAAGCAAUGAUCAAAGGAGCAAUCCGCUUUGGGAGGGGCCUGCGUCCCAUCAGCUAGUUGGUAGGGUAAUGGCCUACCAAGGCGUCGACGGGUAAGGGACCUGAGAGGGUGGCCCCUCACAAUGGAACUGAAACACGGUCCAUACACCUACGGGUGGCUG
rnacentral:rRNA from 1 species